rnacentral:rRNA from 1 species
AACGAACGCUGGCGGCAUGCCUAACACAUGCAAGUCGAGCGAGCCCCCCGGGGGGUGUCGCCCGCGGGUGCGUAAGGCGCGGGAAGCUGCACGCAUGGUCCGUAUAACUAUCCGAAGGGGAUGCGAAGACCGAACAGUGGCUUCGGGCGGAAGAUAUAUCGCCUUUGGAUGGGCCCGCGUUGGAUUAGCUAGUUGGGAGGGUAAUAGCCUACCAAGGCGACGAUCCGUAGCUGGGUUGAGAGGAUGAUCAGCCACACUGCGACUGAGACACGGCCCAGACUCCUACGGGAGGCAGCAGUGGGGAAUCUUGGACAAUGGGCGCAAGCCUGAUCCAGCCAUGCCGCGUGAGUGAUGAAGGCCUUAGGGUUGUAAAGCCCUUUUACCCGGGAUGAUAAUGACGGUACCGGGUGAAUAAGCCCCGGCUAACUCCGUG